GCAAAAGUGGCGUAAUUGGUAGCCGCGUUACCUUGAGGUGGUAAUGAACUUUGUUUGUGUGGGUUCAAGUCCCACCUUUUGCA
rfam:Ostreococcus tauri mitochondrion, complete genome.